rnacentral:rRNA from 4 species
GGUCAAGUGAAGAAGCGCAUACGGUGGAUGCCUUGGCAGUCAGAGGCGAUGAAAGACGUGGUAGCCUGCGAUAAGCUUCGGGGAGUCGGCAAACAGACUUUGAUCCGGAGAUCUCUGAAUGGGGGAACCCACUCAGCAUAAGCUGAGUAUCUUGUACUGAAUACAUAGGUGCAAGAGGCGAACCAGGGGAACUGAAACAUCUAAGUACCCUGAGGAAAAGAAAUCAACCGAGAUUCCCUUAGUAGUGGCGAGCGAACGGGGACUAGCCCUUAAGUGGCUUUGAGAUUAGCGGAACGCUCUGGAAAGUGCGGCCAUAGUGGGUGAUAGCCCUGUACGCGAAAAUCUCUUAGUCAUGAAAUCGAGUAGGACGGAGCACGAGAAACUUUGUCUGAAUAUGGGGGGACCAUCCUCCAAGGCUAAAUACUACUGACUGACCGAUAGUGAACCAGUACCGUGAGGGAAAGGCGAAAAGAACCCCGGAGAGGGGAGUGAAAUAGAUCCUGAAACCGUAUGCGUACAAGCAGUGGGAGCCUACUUUGUUAGGUGACUGCGUACCUUUUGUAUAAUGGGUCAGCGACUUAUAUUCAGUGGCGAGCUUAACCGAAUAGGGGAGGCGUAGCGAAAGCGAGUCUUAAUAGGGCGUUUAGUCGCUGGGUAUAGACCCGAAACCGGGCGAUCUAUCCAUGGGCAGGUUGAAGGUUAGGUAACACUGACUGGAGGACCGAACCGACUACCGUUGAAAAGUUAGCGGAUGACCUGUGGAUCGGAGUGAAAGGCUAAUCAAGCUCGGAGAUAGCUGGUUCUCCUCGAAAGCUAUUUAGGUAGCGCCUCAUGUAUCACUGUAGGGGGUAGAGCACUGUUUCGGCUAGGGGGUCAUCCCGACUUACCAAACCGAUGCAAACUCCGAAUACCUACAAGUGCCGAGCAUGGGAGACACACGGCGGGUGCUAACGUCCGUCGUGAAAAGGGAAACAACCCAGACCGUCAGCUAAGGUCCCAAAGUCAUGGUUAAGUGGGAAACGAUGUGGGAAGGCUUAGACAGCUAGGAGGUUGGCUUAGAAGCAGCCACCCUUUAAAGAAAGCGUAAUAGCUCACUAGUCGAGUCGGCCUGCGCGGAAGAUGUAACGGGGCUCAAACCAUGCACCGAAGCUACGGGUAUCACUUAGGUGAUGCGGUAGAGGAGCGUUCUGUAAGCCUGUGAAGGUGAGUUGAGAAGCUUGCUGGAGGUAUCAGAAGUGCGAAUGCUGACAUGAGUAACGACAAUGGGAGUGAAAAACUCCCACGCCGAAAGACCAAGGUUUCCUGCGCAACGUUAAUCGACGCAGGGUUAGUCGGUCCCUAAGGCGAGGCUGAAAAGCGUAGUCGAUGGAAAACAGGUUAAUAUUCCUGUACUUCUAGUUAUUGCGAUGGAGGGACGGAGAAGGCUAGGCCAGCUUGGCGUUGGUUGUCCAAGUUUAAGGUGGUAGGCUGAGAUCUUAGGUAAAUCCGGGAUCUUAAGGCCGAGAGCUGAUGACGAGUUGCCUUUAGGCGACGAAGUGGUUGAUGCCAUGCUUCCAAGAAAAGCUUCUAAGCUUCAGAUAACUAGGAACCGUACCCCAAACCGACACAGGUGGUUGGGUAGAGAAUACCAAGGCGCUUGAGAGAACUCGGGUGAAGGAACUAGGCAAAAUGGCACCGUAACUUCGGGAGAAGGUGCGCCGGUGAGGGUGAAGGACUUGCUCCGUAAGCUCAUGCCGGUCGAAGAUACCAGGCCGCUGCGACUGUUUAUUAAAAACACAGCACUCUGCAAACACGAAAGUGGACGUAUAGGGUGUGACGCCUGCCCGGUGCCGGAAGGUUAAUUGAUGGGGUUAGCUAACGCGAAGCUCUUGAUCGAAGCCCCGGUAAACGGCGGCCGUAACUAUAACGGUCCUAAGGUAGCGAAAUUCCUUGUCGGGUAAGUUCCGACCUGCACGAAUGGCGUAACGAUGGCGGCGCUGUCUCCACCCGAGACUCAGUGAAAUUGAAAUCGCUGUGAAGAUGCAGUGUAUCCGCGGCUAGACGGAAAGACCCCGUGAACCUUUACUAUAGCUUUGCACUGGACUUUGAAUUUGCUUGUGUAGGAUAGGUGGGAGGCUUUGAAGCGUGGACGCCAGUUCGCGUGGAGCCAUCCUUGAAAUACCACCCUGGCAACUUUGAGGUUCUAACUCAGGUCCGUUAUCCGGAUCGAGGACAGUGUAUGGUGGGUAGUUUGACUGGGGCGGUCUCCUCCUAAAGAGUAACGGAGGAGUACGAAGGUGCGCUCAGACCGGUCGGAAAUCGGUCGUAGAGUAUAAAGGCAAAAGCGCGCUUGACUGCGAGACAGACACGUCGAGCAGGUACGAAAGUAGGUCUUAGUGAUCCGGUGGUUCUGUAUGGAAGGGCCAUCGCUCAACGGAUAAAAGGUACUCCGGGGAUAACAGGCUGAUACCGCCCAAGAGUUCAUAUCGACGGCGGUGUUUGGCACCUCGAUGUCGGCUCAUCACAUCCUGGGGCUGAAGCCGGUCCCAAGGGUAUGGCUGUUCGCCAUUUAAAGUGGUACGCGAGCUGGGUUUAGAACGUCGUGAGACAGUUCGGUCCCUAUCUGCCGUGGACGUUUGAGAUUUGAGAGGGGCUGCUCCUAGUACGAGAGGACCGGAGUGGACGAACCUCUGGUGUUCCGGUUGUCACGCCAGUGGCAUUGCCGGGUAGCUAUGUUCGGAAGAGAUAACCGCUGAAAGCAUCUAAGCGGGAAACUUGCCUCAAGAUGAGAUCUCACUGGAGCCUUGAGCUCCCUGAAGGGCCGUCGAAGACUACGACGUUGAUAGGUUGGGUGUGUAAGCGCUGUGAGGCGUUGAGCUAACCAAUACUAAUUGCCCGUGAGGCUUGACCAU